GUAUAGUAAUAGCUAAUUGCAUCAAUGUUUAAAUAAUUGAUGCAAUAUCGACUCUGUCGAAUAAAAUUCUAGGUAGAAUUAUGAUAAUGACAUUGUCUGCCUAUGUGUCUUGACCAAAUUACGUGCCAGCAGUCGCGGUAAUACGUAGAAGACUAGUGUUAUUCAUCUUUAAUAGGUUUAAAGGGUACCUAGACGGUAGAUCAAGCCUGCAAUAUGGGACUAAUGUACUAGAGUUACUUACGAGGGGGUUUUAAAGUACUGCUGGUGGAGAGAUGAAAUUCAGUCAUACCUUAUUUUGAAUAAAAUACUAUGGCACAGGUAUAGGCGAAAGCAUCCCCUUAUGUGAUAACUGACGUUGAAGGACGAAGGCUUUUGGUAGCGAACAGGAUUAGAUACCCCAAUAGUCAAAGCAGAAAAUGAUGAAUGUCAUAGAUUAGACAUAUAAUAGUUUAUUCUAUAAAUGAAAGUGUAAGCAUUCCACCUCAAGAGUAAUUUGGCAACAUUGGAACUGAAAUCAUUAGACCGUUUCUGAAACCAGUAGUGAAGUAUGUUGUUUAAUUUGAUAAUCCGCAAAAAACCUUACCACAAUUUGAAUAUUUAGAUUAUUAUUUUCUUUUAUUUUUUGUUGUAGAGCAAAAUUAACAAGAAGAAAAGAGAAAUCUAUUUACAAGCGUUGCACGGCUGUCUACAGUUAAUGUCGUGAGAUUCUGGUUAGUUCCAUUAAUUAACGUAAACCCUUACUUUAUUUUUAUAUAGAGUUGUUCCCCACUAGAUUGGAUAAGAUAACAGGGACUAAGACAAGUCAUCAUGGCCUGAAUAUUGUGGGCUAUAGACGUGCCACAUAACCUUACAAAAGGAUGUGAAAUUGUGAAUUGAGCUAAUCCCCCAAAAUGGAGAUACACUAACAUGGA
rnacentral:rRNA from 1 species